rnacentral:rRNA from 1 species
AGAGUUUGAUCCUGGCUCAGAAUCAACGCUGGCGGCGUGCCUAACACAUGCAAGUCGCACGAGAAAGGGUAGCAAUACCUGAGUACAGUGGCGCACGGGUGAGUAACACGUGACUUAUCUACCUCCGAGUGGGGAAUAACCUAGAGAAAUCUGGGCUAAUACCGCAUAACACUUACGAGUCAAAGCAGCAAUGCGCUUGGAGAGGAGGUCGCGGCCGAUUAGCUAGUUGGCGGGGUAAUGGCCCACCAAGGCGAUGAUCGGUAUCCGGCCUGAGAGGGCGCACGGACACACUGGAACUGAAACACGGUCCAGACUCCUACGGGAGGCAGCAGUGGGGAAUUUUGCGCAAUGGGGGAAACCCUGACGCAGCAACGCCGCGUGGAGGAUGAAAUAUCUUGGUAUGUAAACUCCUUUCGAUGGGGAAGAUUAUGACGGUACCCAUAGAAGAAGCCCCGGCUAACUUCGUGCCAGCAGCCGCGGUAAUACGAGGGGGGCAAGCGUUGUUCGGAUUUAUUGGGCGUAAAGGGUGCGUAGGCGGUUUGGCAAGUCUUAUGUGAAAUCUUCGGGCUCAACCCGAAGCCUGCAUAAGAAACUGCCGGGCUUGAGUAUGGGAGAGGUGAGUGGAAUUUCCGGUGUAGCGGUGAAAUGCGUAGAUAUCGGAAGGAACACCUGUGGCGAAAGCGGCUCACUGGACCAUAACUGACGCUGAUGCACGAAAGCUAGGGGAGCAAACAGGAUUAGAUACCCUGGUAGUCCUAGCCCUAAACGAUGAUUGCUUGGUGUGGCAGGUACCCAAUCCUGCCGUGCCGAAGCUAACGCGAUAAGCAAUCCGCCUGGGGAGUACG